rnacentral:antisense_RNA from 1 species
GCUUAUGGCGGGCCGCACGAUGCAGGUUUCGACCUGGCCGGUUUUCCUUCGUGUACCGGUUUCUGACCCUCGUGCGGUCCGCCACCCUC